rnacentral:tRNA from 1 species
GCCUUGAUAGUGUAAUGGAUGAGCACGAGAGACUGAAUAUCUGUAAGAACGGGUUCGAGUCCCGGCUGAGGUU